rnacentral:rRNA from 1 species
UCGCCUCUUGACAUACAUAAGAGGUCCAGCCUGCCCAGUGACUAAGUUCAACGGCCGCGGUAUCCUAMCCGUGCGAAGGUAGCGUAAUCACUUGUUCUUUAAAUGAGGACUAGUAUGAAUGGCACCACGAGGGUUAUACUGUCUCCUUUUUUUAAUCAAUGAAACUGAUCUCCCCGUGAAGAAGCGGGGAUAAAUUUAUAAGACGAGAAGACCCUAUGGAGCUUUAAACAAUUAUAGCACUGGCCCACACCUCUUAUUCUCCUGAGAUAUAAUUAUUAUACAGGCCAACAUGACUAUUAGUUUUAGGUUGGGGUGACCGCGGAGCAAAAAUUAMCCUCCACGUUGAACGGAGCUACUCCUGAGCUAAAAACUACAACUUUAAGCACCAAUAAACUGACAUCAAUUGACCCAAUAUAUUGAACAACGAACCAA